GCUGAAUUGACAAUUCGACAUACAUAGCUUCUACCAUUGCAGGAACAUACCAUCCCAUUUUGCUCGUUUGUUGCUAUUCUAGAUGGCUUGAGCCGAGGUUUCCCAUUCUACUGCAGCUUCCCCAACUAACCAGCAAAACAGAGCCAAAUUGUUGGGUCAGCUAUCUCCAAGGUUCUAUCUGGAAGAGCAUCCUCCGCGAAUUUAUGCAGAUCAAGUGAAUCCCUGAACAUGUCAUCUGUUGGGCUUCUUCCGCUUUUUACAAAGUAUGCAAACAAGAAGAAUAACUGAAAGUGAUAACAAGAUUGCUCCAGUUGUUGCUAGAGAAAUUACAAGAGACUUCGCCUUCUUUCUUUUGUUCUUGCUUG